AAUGAACGCUGGCGGCAUGCCUAACACAUGCAAGUCGAACGAAGGCUUCGGCCUUUUUGGCGCCCGAGUUCGGAACCCGAGGGGAUAUGCCCACGUGGUCGGCAUAACUGUUAGACAUGACUGCUAAUACGGGAUGGUGUCGUAAGACCGAAGAUUUAUUGCACCAGGAUGAGCCCGAGUAGGAUUAGCUAGUUGGUGCGGUAAAGGGCUACCACGGCGACGAUCAUUAACUGGUCAGAGAGGAUGAUCAGCCACACUGGGACUGAGACACGGCCCAGAAUCCUACGGGAGGCAGGAGUGGGGAAUAGUGGAAAAUGGGCGAAAGCCUGAUGCAGCAAUGACGCGUGAGUGAUGAAAGCCUGGGGGUUGUAAAGUUCUUUUAACCGGGAUGAUAAUGACAGUACCGGGAGAAUAAGCUCCGGCUAACUUCGUG
rnacentral:rRNA from 1 species